rnacentral:rRNA from 1 species
GAUGAACGCUGGCGGCGUGCCUAAUACAUGCAAGUCGAGCGAACAGACGAGGAGCUUGCUCCUCUGACGUUAGCGGCGGACGGGUGAGUAACACGUGGAUAACCUACCUAUAAGACUGGGAUAACUUCGGGAAACCGGAGCUAAUACCGGAUAAUAUAUUGAACCGCAUGGUUCAAUAGUGAAAGACGGUUUUGCUGUCACUUAUAGAUGGUUCCGCGCCGCAUUAGCUAGUUGGUAAGGUAACGGCUUACCAAGGCAACGAUGCGUAGCCGACCUGAGAGGGGGAUCGGCCACACUGGAACUGAGACACGGUCCAGACUCCUACGGGAGGAAGCAGUAGGGAAUAUUCCGCAAUGGGCGAAAGCCUGACGGAGCAACGCCGCGUGAGUGAUGAAGGUCUUCGGAUCGUAAAACUCUGUUAUUAGGGAAGAACAAAUGUGUAAGUAACUAUGCACGUCUUGACGGUACCUAAUCAGAAAGCCACGGCUAACUACGUG